rnacentral:rRNA from 1 species
UACAGAGGUCCCAAGCGUUUGUUCGGAUUCACUGGGCGUAAAGGGUGCGUAGGUGGCGGGAUAGUCUGAUGUGAAAUCUCCAAGCUUAACUUGGAAAUGGCAUUGGAAACUACUCUGCUCGAGGGUUGGAGGGGGGGACUGGAAUACUUGGUGUAGCAGUGAAAUGCGUAGAUAUCAAGUGGAACACCAGUGGCGAAGGCGAGUCCCUGGACAACUCCUGACACUGAGGCACGAAAGCUAGGGGAGCGAACAGG